GAUAUUUUGAUUUGUGAAAAAGGCCAGCCCAAUUGAAAGGAAAGCAGCAUAUUCUUCACGGUGUUCGUUCAUCGUCGUCUUCUAUCUAUACUUCCUCAUCUAGAGUUUAUCAUCAGAAGAAUCCAUCGCCAGCCAUUAAUGGAGUUUGAGGAGGUUGUGUGAAACGAUUCUUCGUGAUGAACAGCUGGGUCGUUCGCGUCGGUUCGUCUGAGAUUCUUCUCCUCCAAACGUUAUGAGAUUCAUCAAUUCAUCUCCAUUAAGAACUAUCUUUACUCCUUCAACCCCUGAAAUUUAAUCCUCACAAUUCCUAAAACCACUAAAACUUAUUUUAUCGACGAUGUAUUGUGUUCAGCUCUCUAAUUUUGUUUUCAGUGACAGGUGAGUUUCCGUUAUUGAUUUGGCGACGGAACUAGAGAAUAUAGAGAUUAAAUUCUUCUUCUCGGUUUGAAAACUUGAAUCUGAUGUCUUGGAGGUACCGGUUAAAGAAACGAAGAUGUGAAAGUGAUUGUAGCGGGUGAUGACGAUUGGUUGCCUCAGUCGCCAAAGGUUGUAUUCGAUAAAAGCAAAGAGUUAGGUGAGGAGUCUACCAUUUAAAGCCAGGUUUGAGGUGGAAAAAAGAUGGAGCUCAUGUCAUUCUCAAAAACUGUAGUAGAUGUGAUGCAGGAAGCCAAGGUUUCUGCUAGCAAAGAAGCUGAAGUAUCUCAAAACAUUCUUUGAGGAAGCUGCUUCUCAGGCACCACCAGGCCAAGAUUGUCAUAAUAUUUCCAGUAGAGUUUUGGAUCCCCUAUGCAUGGUUCAUACCAUUUAUAUUAUAUUCGUGUCAGAGUUGAACAACGAAUUAUAAACCACCUAACAUAGCAAAUAUUUAUUUUUUAUGCUCUUUCA